CUACGGGAGGCAGCAGUGAGGAAUAUUGCACAAUGGGGGGAACCCUGAUGCAGCAACGCCGCGUGGAGGAUGACGCAUUUCGGUGUGUAAACUCCUUUUAUAUGUCAAGAAAAUGACGGUAGCAUAUGAAUAAGCACCGGCUAACUCCGUGCCAGCAGCCGCGGUAAUGCGGAGGGUGCAAGCGUUACUCGGAAUCACUGGGCGUAAAGGACGCGUAGGCGGGUUGGAAAGUCAGGUGUGAAAUCCUACAGCUUAACUGUAGAACUGCACUUGAAACUUCUAAUCUAGAGUAUGGGAGGGGGAGAUGGAAUUAGUGGUGUAGGGGUAAAAUCCGUAGAUAUCGCUAGGAAUACCUAAAGCGAAGGCGAUCUCCUGGAACAUUACUGACGCUAAGGCGUGAAAGCGUGGGGAGCAAACAGGAUUAGAUACCCCCGUAGUC
rnacentral:rRNA from 1 species